rnacentral:lncRNA from 7 species
GUCCCGAGGUACGCGAUUGCAGCAAAUCCGGCUUCCUCCGCUUCAGAUCUCCUUCAAUCGUCGUCUUCCACUUCGCGUUUCCCUCUCCGUACUCAUAUGGCUUUGUCUGCAUGAAUGCUUUACUGGUCGCGAAGCCCUUUGUUUUCUCUAGUUUGCAGUUCGCAUAGCUGCCUCCUUUGGAUCUAAGCCUCACGGACUGCUGCAUGUUGCUACCCCCGUCGCUUCCAUUCCCCUGCAAGCCCACGCUCUGCUAUGGAUUUCCCACCUAAAGUUGUUUGUCCAUUCAUGACCCAUGUUCAUGUGCAAUAGCUACAACUUUCAAGGUAUUUGAGAGAUUGCUCAAAAAGUUUGCCAGAUCUAAAGCAUCAGUUGAACGGUCAUAAUGGUGAAUCAACAAGGAACUCGGCGGGGCAUCUCUAAAAGGUUCAGCUUGGUUGUAAUCUAUAAACUGGAGGAAUGUAGAUACCAAUGACGUCUUACUCCAUCAGAAGCUACUAGCUCCUAAUGAAGAACCAAAUUUCUGAAAAAAUACGGACUACAACAUUAUCCGCCAUUUUAGUAAUUUAUGAAACUAUAAACACUGUUUUUGUGACAUGUAAAUGAUAUUAUCUUCCAAAAAAUUUG